rnacentral:lncRNA from 1 species
AAAGGUAAACUUCGAAUACCCCUGUGAUUUCACACUUUCUCACUUUCGUAUUCUGUAGUUUAAACUGUAUUAAAUUAGUCUCUAUGGUUUCGCACUUUCUCACUUUAGUACCCUAUAGUUUAAAAUGUAUCAAAUUAGUACCAUAUAGUUUUAUUUUUCUCUUUUUAUUAUCCAUAUUAUUAAUUUUUUUCGUUAAAUCAAUGACAAAAUUAAAAUUAAAGAAUACUAAAGUGAAUAUUCGACAAACCUAAGUAGGGUAUCUGAAGAAUUUUUGUAUAUAAUUUAACGAAAGAUUAACGGAGGAAAAAAAUUAGUGACAAAAUUAAAACUAAAGGGUACGAAAGUAAAUAUUCGAUAAACCUAAAUAGUAUAUCUGAAGUUUUUUUGUAUAUAAUUUAACGAAAUAUUAACAGAGGAGCCGACGAAAAGAGAAAAAUGAAACCGCAGGGUACUAAAUUGAUGCACUUUAAACGACAGGGUACUAGAGUGAGAAAGUGCGAAACCACAGGGUACUAAAUUGAUACACUUUAAACCACAAGAUACUAAAGUGAAAAAAUACGAAACCACAGAGGUGGUAUUUAAAGUUUUGCCUAUAAUAAAUCCACCCAUCCUCUCUCAAUGUC